UCCUGCCUUUCCCCUUCCCUGGGCUAUCAAACAGCUGUAGGGCAGGGACCCACACGCUGUAGAGGAGAAAGAAAGUGGCAUGAGGACUGCAGGGCUGGGCCCAGCCUCAGCAGAUCCAUGCCCUUUGGGGUCUCUGCCUAUGACUGAGCCAGUCCCCAAGUUGGCCCAGUGAGUCCUGCCUGGUGCCUGGGCUCACACAGGUGGCAAAGAAAUCCCAACUUCCCCCAGCCUUGGGUGGGUAGUACGUUCAUGGAUGGCCACUGGCUCUGGCCCCACCUCCCCCUUGGGCGCCAUCCCUGAUUAAUGAUCUUGUCUUUCUGAUUUAUGAGCAGCCCCUCCAGACGAGGGUGGGCGCCCCUUACGGCCCCGCCCGCCCUGCUCAGCUGGAGUAGGAGAGAAUUAUUAAAUAAACAUCCAUACGUCAUUCCUCCACCCCCCCGCAGCUGGUUGCGCCGAACCCGUACGGCCCGCUCCGGCGCUGACACAGAGCAGCUGCGGUGAUUCAUGGGCAGCCGGGCCCUGCGCCGCGGCCCAUACAUCAUGCCAGCAGCACUCGCAGCCCCGGCCGAGAUAAACUGAUCAACCACAACGGGCUGGAAUGAAUUUAUGACAACACAAAAUGGAGGGAAACAAAUGGGAGGUGACCCUGGGCCACCGACCCGGCCCUGCACCGGCCCGCUAUCCACUCUCCUGGCAGGAGGCAAGAUGGAACACUGGCCCUAGAAUGAAGAGGCUGCCUUUUAACCCCAGGUGCUAACGCGGCUUGGCUGUCACCUUCAAUGCAUCACCCGAGGCUGAGAGCCCCCCUCGUCACUCCUAGCUUGCAGCCUCACAAUUCCAUUUCCCCACCCAAAUACAUCCAUUUUAAUAUGCACAUCACAGGCAGACAGCCUGGUCACAAAGGAGCCUGGCCAGCAGCAGGUUCCACGUGGUGGAACGGAUGACCAGCCACCAGAGUGCCACUGCCUCAGAGCGUCAGCUGCUGUACCUCGGAAGCCACCUUCCAGAAGAGUGGUGGCUCGUAUCCGCUUCUGCCCACACCACUCAUACUCCUCAAAGCGGUUGCUGCUCUCGUGCUCGAUGUCCACAGCGUCCUCCUCAGCCAUGCAGGAGCCUUCCCUCUGUGAAGAGCAGAGCAGGGUCAGGCAGGGCCCAGGCUCCCCCGUCCUGCGCCCCCGACUCUGGGGCUCCUUUAAGGUUAAAGCCAACCUACAGGUCACAGACCUGAGCCUCUUCCCCCAAAUUUUCCGCUGGAGCCCCAGGGGAGAGUGAGUGAGAGUGAAAGCAAAAGAAGAGAGCCAAGAACCGAGAAGCUGCUGAGACCACAUGGAGACCCCAAGAGCCCACAGACUUAGGGGCAGUAAGUGGCUAGAGCCAGGGGGAGGGAGAGAAGGAGGGUGGGUGGUGAUGGCCCCUCUACCUUUGAAAGGCAAUGCUCCACAUGCCUACUCAUCUCCUGCUCCGAUCCUGCCAGGGGGCGGCUGCACAGGGGACAUACCUGCCCUUCAUCUUGCUUCCUCCGUUUCAUUUUCCCAAUCCGAGCUGCAUGAAGAAACCGAAAACAAAGCACAGAACAAGCAGUCACUGCAGCUCCCAGGGUCCCAGUGGAGCCGACACACCCUGACCUGCCGCCAGCCAUCAGCUCUUUUGCUUAGUGUCUGAUCUGGCCCUCUCUGCAGCACCUCCUGCUCCUUUGGGGGCUGGACCUUGCAAGAACACCUGGGGAGGAGACUGGUGCCAGGCCAGGAAGUGUCCAUUCUUGGUAGCAGCUGGCCAUGUUUAACCUAUACUUCCCUAUCUGCAGUGCUCAAUAAAGUCCAUGGGCAGAUACUAUGGAUCUCCCUAAAAGGCUAAGACCAUGGGUUCUUUGGGUAUUAGGAUAUAUAACUAGGAAUUAUCUCUUGGCCAGAAUCCAGGGUUCCUCUAGGAGCCCGAUAUGGGAUCUACUAAUUUCUCAUCAGCUACAAGUUCCAAGACCAAGAGCCUGAAGUACAACCCCUAACAGCUCCUAGAAGACCUAGAAUCAACCCAAGAACUGUUUGGAUGUCAACUGGUCCCAUUUUACAGGAUAGGAGGCUGAGGCCCAGUUAUAAAGGUAUAGAUGGUCUCGAUCAGACAGUGGGCAGCUUGGUCAAAAGAGGCAGGGUGCCUUGAGAGAGCAGCCCUUAUUGUGCCUACCCAAAACUCUUCCAUCAUUUCUCAUCAGCACAGAGGGGCUGGGAAGCCCCAGAGGCAGGGGGCUGCCUGCCAUGCUGUCCCGCAGGGGGCUCAGCUCCAAAGUGCACACUGCAAGCCCACAGCACUGCUAAUUAAUGCUGAGAGAUGCAAUCAUUUCUAAUUAGCUCACUAAUCCCUCUCUGCAGCCCUCCUGUCACUGCAGCAAGAAGGGGUCAAAACAAGGGACUCUGUUCCCUCUAGCCCCUCCCAGGAUGUAACAGAAGGAUCAGAGACAGCUACUGCUGAGUCCAGACUGAUGGAGGGGAGAGAUACAGGAAGAGAUUCCUCAUGGACAAGGACACUGGCUCUGACGGCAAGUUCAUAAAUGCAGUAUGGGACACGAAACUUGGGUGAGAGUUGGUAUGUUACAAUUUAGUUUCUACUAUGUGCUCAGAGCCAAGUACCUUACACAAGGUAGCUCAUUUGCUUCUAUAUCCUGAAGCUGGGUUGUAUUAUGCCAUAUUAACAAAGAAACCUGAAAUUCACAGGGAUCAAGGCAGUUGUCUAAAUAGCAAACAAGUAGCAAAGCUAAGAGCAAAGCCAGCCUUACUCCACAGCUUAGAAUGCUCUCUUGUUCCAAGAGUCCUCUGCCUGAGCAGCAUCAGCAAAGACUGACCCCAGGGGCCAACGUUGUGGUAUAAUGGGUGAAGCCACCGCUUGUGAUGCCAGCAUUCCAUAUGGGUACUGGAUUGAGUUGUGGACGCUCCACUUCUGAUCCUGCUCCCUGCUAAUGCGCUUGGGAAAGCAGUGGAUGAUGGGCCUAAGUGCUUGGGCCCCUGCACCCAUCAGGAGAUCCAGAUAAAGCUCCAGGUGCCUGGCCUUGGUCUGGCCCAGCCGUGGCUGCUGUGGCACUUCGGAAGUGAACCAGUGGAUGCAAGAUCAGGCUCUCUUUUGCUCUGCCUCUCCCUCUCUGUAAUUCCGCCUUUCCAAUAAAUAAAUCUUAAAAACAAAAAACAAAAAAAC